CAUGAAGUUGGAAUUGCUAGUAAUCGCGGAUCAGCAUGCCGCGGUGAAUACGUUCCCUGGCCUUGUACACACCGCCCGUCACACCAUGGGAGCCGGUAAUACCCGAAGUCAGUAGCCUAACCGCAAGGGGGGCGCUGCCGAAGGUAGGAUUGGCGACUGGGGUGAAGUCGUAACAAGGUACC
rnacentral:rRNA from 1 species